GGUGGCCGAGUGGUUGAAGGCGUACCCCUGGAAAGGGUGUAUGCGGGGAACCGUAUCGAGAGUUCGAAUCUCUCUCUGGAA
rnacentral:tRNA from 1 species